UCCACGCCCUAAACGAUGUACACUAGUUGUUGCUAUGCUAGUCAUAGCAGUAAUGCAGCUAACGCAUUAAGUGUACCGCCUGGGGAGUACGGUCGCAAGAUUAAAACUCAAAGGAAUAGACGGGGACCCGCACAAGCGGUGGAGCAUGUGGUUUAAUUCGACGAUACGCGAAGAACCUUACCUGGACUUGACAUCCUAUAAAUGAUUUAGAGAUAGAUUAGUGCUAGUUUACU
rnacentral:rRNA from 1 species